UACGUAGGGAGCAAGCGUUGUCCGGAAUCAUUGGGCGUAAAGCGCGCGUAGGUGGCCUCAUAAGUCCGCUGUGAAAGUCAAAGGCUCAACCUUUGAAAGCCGGUGGAUACUGUGAGGCUAGAGUACGGAAGGGGCGAGUGGAAUUCCUGGUGUAGCGGUGGAAUGCGCAGAUAUCAGGAGGAACACCAAUAGCGAAGGCAGCUCGCUGGGACGUUACUGACACUGAGGCGCGAAAGCGUGGGGAGCGAACAGG
rnacentral:rRNA from 1 species